GGUAGCUGUCCAUCACUUUGAAUCGUGCGCGGACAGCUAAUGACGUGGGUACCAGCUUGUAGAUAUUGAUCCGGAAUACAUUUCAAACAAGAGAUGAGUGGCAGUUUUAAUCAUUCCCAUACAUUUUUGUGAAUUGAGGUGGUCGGUCGUUAAAGGAAACGUGACCAAUACCCAAGGAUGCGGUUUUACAUCUUCAUUAUAGGGGUCUUACUUCUUGUGACAAAAACACAACAGACCGCUCUGCCGGAUGCCUGCAACCUGCCAAUGUACCAGGGGGACUGUACGGAAUACAUAUCCCGUUGGUAUUACGACUCGGUCACUGGAGCAUGCGUGGAGUUCAUAUACAGUGGUUGCUAUGGAAACGGUAACAACUUCUACACCAAGGACGCAUGCCUAGCGCAGUGUACUUAAGCCGGGAACUGUUACUACUACAUUUGACAUGGAUCAGGAAGGAAGAUAAUGCUUAUAAUCUAUUUUAAUUAAUAAAGUCAAUAUCACCAAA